AUCUUUCUCAUCUCAUACCUUUUACUAUUUUAGCCUCUCUUUAUAUCAAAUUAAAGAUGAAUUAUACCAUGAAAGCCUUUCUGUUCAUGUGCUUAUUUUUCACCUAUGCUGUGGCUACUGAUAAUAAGCCAUUUGAAGCUGGUGCAACUCAAGAUGCAGGAAGCAUAACAAAAGUGUUGGAAUCAAUCCCUAGUGGUGUAGCUUAUUAUGUGUUGGGGAAAGAAGAAGAGCUCGGCACAUGCCAUGAGUAUUGCUGGUUAGGCCUCGUAAUGUAUUGUUGCGAAUCUUACUCUCUUCCACGUAAGAUCGCAAAAUAUGCAUAGCUUUAUACAUCGAUAAUCUAUGCAUCGCGUGCACCAGCUUCUAUAUAUAUAUAGGAGUUAUGAAAUAAAAGUAUAGAGUAUUUCUAUACACCAUGUUAUGUGUACCUGUACGUCUUGAUAUCUUGUAAUGUGCCACUUAUUGUUAUCAAUGUCAUGUAUUUCAAUUCCUAAAUAAAAUAUAGGGUUUCAACCUGGCCCACCAUUGCC